GGUUGGAUCAUUAUUAGCUUCGAGGCAGUCUCUCGCCGCCGCCGCUCGCUACCCAGCGAGCUCGAGCCUAGGCGCGUUCGCGCGACUAGGGUAAGAGCAACCUGGGUCACGACGACGACAACGACGAGGGUCGGUCGAGACUCUAAACCAAACCGUGAUGUUAAAACUGCAUAGUCUAUAUCUACUUAAAACUUGAACUAGUCGACCCCUAUCCGCACCGACCUCGACAACCGAGCGAGAGAAAGAGAGAGACGUAUAAAGUCAAUACCUCUCGAUCGAUCGAUCGACCGAGCGAGCGUGCGGAUCGAGGUCACCCUAAACAAAAAACCUUUGCGGUGGAUGUCUAGGUUACCCCUUCGAUGAAGAGCGCAGCAAAGUGCGAUAACUAAUGUGAAUUGCAGGGUCUGUGAAUCAUCGAGUUCUUGAACGCAUUGCGCCUUGGGGCCUCGGCCCCUCGGCAUACCUCAUUCAGCGGCUAGCAAUACCUGCCACUCGUGGCGAUUGGUCUAAGUAGGUACCCAACCCCCUACAGUGACCUAAGUUCCUCUCUCUCUCUCGCGCGUUCUGCUCGAGGGAGGGAGGGGGUGAAAAGGGAACCGUGUCUCGUCGUCCUCGCUCUCGCGGUGCGAGAGGAGGUCUACGAGGCGGUGGUCUCGCGCUCUCUGCGCGCGUCCACCUCUGGUGCGGGCCAGGCACAAAGCGAAUCACUUUAAUGGGUGGAUUACUCCCGAGACUUAAAAAAUCGAGGGGGUCCAGAGAUAAGGCGUAGAUGGUUUCACUGCAAAGCCAAGGGUGCCUCGACCUCGAUCUAUUAGGAUUCGUGUUCUUUAGGGCUGAUCCCGUCCCUGGGGUUCAUCACGCGAACGCGAGUAACGAUCGAAGAGAAGGCAGCGCUCCCAAGGCUAAGCGGACGGGUCUGGAACUGGAGCCUUUGAUCUGGGGUUCAUUUUAUCAGAGAGGUGAGGAGCACUCGCUAGACGCCCUGAAGUGAGGUAAGACAACCCCGGGGAUUUAAGCAUAUCAUUACCGGGAGGAAAAGAAACUAACUAGGAUUCCCCUAGUAACUGCGAGUGAAGAGGGAAAAGCUCAAGCCCAAAUCUAGCGGACUUCGGUCCGUUCGAAUUGUAGUUUUGUGAACGGAGCCUGGCUGGGGAACGCCUUAAGUCUUCCUGGAACGGAGCGCCAUAGAGGGUGAUAGCCCCGUUGGACGUCUCUCCGGCCGUCAGGGUUCUAGUUCGAAGAGUCGUACACCUUGAGAUCGGUGUGCUAAUUGGGUGGUAAACUCCAUCUAAAGCUAAAUAUUGGGGGGUAAUCCGAUAGUGCACAAGUAGCGUGAGCGAAAGAUGCAAAGAACUCUGGAGAGAGAGUUAAAAGUACCUGAAACCGCAAUAGGGGAAGCGGUCGGCUGUAGCCACACGGGUGGUCGAGUUCAAGCUGGGUGGGUUUAUCUAAUGGGGGGAGUUAGAGGUCUUUCGGCCUCGGCGAACUUCAAGAGGUAGGCUCACCUGGUGGCACUCUCGAUCAUCCGGCCAGCGGGGAUUGGGUGGACGCAAGAAAAGGUUUAGAGGGAAGCUCGCCUGCGGGUGUGUGGAUCUCUAGGCCUCUAUGGCGUCUACGCGGUCCUAGCCUUACGCUCAUUCUAGAGGCCGCAAGGCGAGUCAUGGGUGGAGGUUGGGUCGAUGGGUCUGGGGACUGCUUGCAGUGCCUAGGCUCACCGGCUCUUCGGAAAUCUCUAGGCUCACUCUAGAAGGCGCUGGUCGUGCGAGGUUGACUGUCCCGUCUUGAAACACGGACCAAGGAGUGUAUCGUUGUGCCGAGUCUACGGGUUUUAAACCUUAAGGCGAAGCGAAAGCAUAGGGAACCUAUCUGGGGCUUGUCCCCGGCCGCAGUUCCGUUCUCUCCUGGGGCUUGCUCCUCGAGGGAAAAGGAGGUGCAACGAUACGACCCGAAAGAAGGCGAACUAUACUUGUGUAGGUUGAAGCCAGAAGAAAUUCUGGUGGAGGAUCGUAGCGAUACUGACGUGCAAAUCGUUCGUCAAACAUGGGCAUAGCGGCGAAAGACUAAUCGAGCCUUCUAGUAGCUGGUUCCCUU
rnacentral:misc_RNA from 1 species